AGUGGCUCCCUGUGCCGGGUGCAGUGUGGGGUGCUAUGCCCGCCUGUUCUGUUGAAGCCUCAGAAGGACCCUGUGAGGCAGAAACUCUUGCCAUCCCGUUUUACAGUAUCCCUGUCCCUCGGAGGACUGUGGCUCCCAGGCUAGGCCAGGCUUUAUCAUCACAGAGGAGACGGGAAUCCUCUGGGAGACGGCGACUAUGGAUCCAGCGUUGAGGGGAUAAGGAGAGGAAAAGCUGCUGGAGGCGAAGCUUCCUGCCUUUGCGUCCGGCCAUACAGAGCUGCGCACAGUUCCCCAGCCUGUACCCGGCCUCCCUGCUCCCAGGCGUUGCACAGCUGAGCCCCUGCUCUGAUCACUCCCUAAUGCCUACCCAUCCUUCAAGUCUUCGAUGCUGCCUCCUCCGGGGAGUCCUCGUACCCCUCAGCAUUUGCUGUUUUCCUCUUGAAGGACAGCAUCGGGGUACAGGGCCACUGUCCACCUGGUGUAAUCCUUAGGUCCCGUCUAUUUUCCCCACUCGUCCCUGCCCUCCUUGAGGAUGAAGGCUCUGGCUUCAUCCUGAACCCCAGUGCCCAGGACAGUGUGUGGCAUACUGUCAGGGAUGUUGGCUGCUGAAAGCAACAUUAGUCACUGCACACGCUGCGAUCUGAAAUCCCUGUAUACACGCUCCCACAGGGACACCACAGGACCCUCAGAUUAACUACACAUGUAUUUAAUCUUCUCGGGAUUCAGUCUCAGUCAUUCCCAGGGCCUCCAACAGCCUCCAGCAAAGAUAAAUGUCCAACCAAUGUUGAAUGAAUGAAAGAAGAACCAACAUAAGAUAAAUGUCCGAGAGCACCCCUGGAGAAGGCUCACUGUGGCGGUGGCAGAUGUGGAGAGUUAGACGGCAGACAGGAGAUAGAGCCAUGGGAGCAAAUUGAGAGCAGGAAGAGAAACUUACUGAACACCUCCUAUGUAUUGGUACUGCCCCAGGUAUCUUGGGUUCAUUAUUCCACUUUCUCCUCAUCUUUAUCCUGUG
rnacentral:lncRNA from 1 species